AUAGACGAAAACCCUACAUGAGAAACCUACAUUGUUUCGAAUAUUGACAAAUGAAUCAAGAAAAUCGUUUUUCUUCCGUUAUAUAGUAUAAAUUAACCGUAGAUGUCUGCGGAUUUUACAUAAAGAGAGUUUUAUCUGACUGGUUGCUACGAUGUAAAAUUUCCGGUUUUGUAAUUGACACAUUUGUUUGGUAAAACGCUUUUAUUUCCGCUAUUAAGUAAGCAACUGAGUGUUAAUUGGAUCGUUAUUUGUACGAGGUAAGUGUUAUCUAUUGCUUUACAUGUCUACCUAAUUUUGAUAAUAAACUAUUCGUUUGAAUAGCUUUAAUUUAAUUGACCCGGAAGUAAUUGUGGGUUGUGGGAAUCAGUGUUGACAGUUUAACUUAGCAACUGAAAAUGUCGGCAGGUUAAUACAAAUGUUUUUAUGAAAAUCAUUAAAAAUGAGCCAGUUUACAUCAUCCCAGGCAUCAACUAUUCCCUACAUGCUAGAUUCAUCACAGAAUGACCCUGAAUUUAUUAAUGAACUAAAGGAAGUUGAUCAACUGUAUUUCCAGGAAAAUGUUUCUUCACAUUCCCCUCCCAUUGUUGAAAGGUCCCUUCUCGCCACUCUUAUUAAUAGUGAUGAGUGUGACAGCUUUGAUGGUGUAUUUGAUAACAAUGAAAUUGUUGGUGAUGAAUGUCCAACUAAUUCUUUUGUUGAAUGCAUGGAAGAAAUGAGGACAAUGAAGAGUUAGAAAUUAUCAAUAGAAUGCGCCAAGACUCUUGUCAAUGUAUGUCAAUUAAUCGCAAACCUUGUUCGAUGGUGGUGGACUUUGACAGUUUAGUUUCUUACAGAAAUUCAUGUUUAGAAAUGAGUAGAAGUGAGCGGGAAUUAGUGAUCAAGAGCAGCUUAUUUGCACACCGGGUUAAUACUUCACAGACCUCAACAAACAGAAAAAAGGAAAAAAUACGUAAAAAGCCAUCACAAACAUAUUUCUUUAUGGGGCAGAAAAUUUGCAAGAAAACGUUUGUGUUUGCACAUGCCAUUUCAUGCAGUACAUUGCAAAAAAUUGCUAUUUCUCUUGAUAAAGAUGGUAUUUUGCCCAGGGUGCACGGAAACACUGGAAAACUUCCAGCAAAUGCCUUAUGCUUUGAAGAUAGGCAAAAUGUUAAAGAUUUUAUUCAUGAAUACGCUACUGAAAAUGCACUCCCUCUACCAGGACGCCUGCCCAACUGCCCAGAUCGCACAAUGCUGCUCUUGCCUUCUGAUAAAUCAAUUGCACAAGUGCAUGAUUUGUAUAACCAUAGUGCUGAACUGUCCCAUUACAGACAGAUUUCAUUAAAGACAUUUAGAUCACUUUGGAAUGACCUAUGUCCACAAAUUGCGCUGGCAAAGCCAAUGACUGACUUGUGUAUGACAUGUCAAACAUUUGGGUCUAAGUUAAGUCAAACAGGCCAAUUUACUGAUGAACAAAAAAAUGAAAUUGUCAUUAGUUAUAAGUCCCACUUGGAUCUGGCUCACAAGCAAAGAGAACAGUACAGAGAGAUGACAGCGAGUAGCAAGCAAAUUUUCUUAAAUGAAAACUUACAUGAAGGGCCGAGCCUUGUAGCAGAGACAUCUGCUACCACUAUUCAUGGGACUUUGCACAGAAUGUGCAUUACCCCCAUCAUGCACAGCAAGUGGGCCCAAUAUACUUCUGCAGCCCCAGAAAAUGCCAUGUCUUUGGCAUGUGUGCAGAAGGGUCAGGAAAACAAGUGUUCUAUCUAAUCGAUGAAGCAGAACUGCCAGAGAAGGGUGCUGAAAGUGUUGUCAGCUUGGCUCACCAUCAUUUCCAACACUUUGGUGUUGGAGAAAAGCAUGCAGAGAUCCACUUUGAUAAUGCAGUUGGACAAAACAAGAACCACACAGUGAUUUGGUAUGCCAUGUGGCGGACUCUGACAGGUGGUGUAGCCUAGCGAGGAUGGGAAGAUUUCGCUUGUGAGGUGGUCUUCAUUUAACCAGGACUCGGUGCCUACAACAAUAUCAGGGUGGACUCCAUGAAACCAUGAGCCUGAACUGCAUGAUUACUGGACACACCAAGUUUGCCCCAGACUACCACUUUGGUCAUCCAAUGCAGAGACCAUGGAGGAGAUUGCUGGUAGUGUUACAGCUUCAUCAAAGUCAGGCCACAAUGUUCCACAGCUGGUCCAAGAUGACAACAAACCGGUUGUCUUCUUCGCUUGGAAAACUUACCUGGAACAGUUUUUCAAGCCAUUGAAAAACAUAACCAAGUACCACCAUUUUACUAUGGAUCGGUCGAAACCAGGUAUUGUUACCUGUAAGGAGAACAUGGAUUCGGAAGAAAUGUGUUUCAAUAUAUUGAAGCCUUUGAGUCCGGCAGCUGGAGAACUCCCACCCACCAAACCAGCCCCGGGCCUUGACCUGCGCAGACAGUGGUAUUUGUCUGACUCAAUUAGCCCAUUCUUCAGAGCAUACAAUGCCAGGGAUACUGUGUGUCCAAAACCAUCAAAGCCAAAAGUUAAAAACCAAGGAAUGGACAGUGACAGCCUACCUAGAAAAAGGAAGCACAGCCUUUAACCGUUAUCUUAACACCAUGGCAACUAAAGUGUUCCUUCAGCCUUGUAGAAAUACAUCAAGAUUUAUCAAUGUAUUUCAUCCAUUUAAUGUGAGGUUUUACACAUGUAUGUAUGACAGAGAUAAUAUUAAUUUAAAUAUCGGUAGUGUUACAGAUGAAACACAAACAUUGCUGUUAUGUUCAAUAUAAAACUUGCUAUGACAUAUUUUUGACAAAGUGCCAUUAGGUUUGUGGUCUCAUCUUUUUCUAAAUGUAAAUAUUGUUUUAAAUUUUCGUUUUAAAGAUGUGCAUACCAACCUAUUUGAAUGUGUGAUCAUACAUGUGUUUAUAAUGUUUGCCAUUUAUUUGUUGAAAAGAGAUAAUGCCACCUUUAUUCGAUUAUAUAAGGCGGAAAGAAUAACAAUUCAAGUAGUGUUUCCAUAGCAACAGGAAAAUUAUUAAGGUUAUUUAUUAAUAGGUCCAGUUUACAACAACAAAUAAAAAGUAUAUUUAUAUAUACAUUAUACAGUUAUAGGCUUACACUCCAUGGAAUCUUUAAAAAGACUCAUCUUAAUUUGUAUGUUAUGGUGAAAAAAACUUAAUAUUUAACACAUUAUAACAUACUUUAAAAUGUCCAAAUAAUGCAACCCGGUUCAGUAUUGUUACUCUAUGUAUCAAAAUUAAGGCUUUUAAAGCAGGUUCAAUGUAUUUCUCUCCUAACAUAUUUGUUUAAAUACUACAAAAUGUUUAGUUUUAUCAUUUCAACCAUUUAAGGUAUAUUUUUACCACGGUUGCCAUGGCAACCGUUUUAAGAGUUAAUUUGAGAUUGUUAUGGAAUCAUCUUAAAGGAAUAAUAUGUUCUGGGUUGCAGUAGAUUUAUUCCAUUACUUGUUUGUUGGUUUGAAGUUGUUAACAUUGAAUGUUUACAUUAACUUGUAAAUAAAUUAUUUAAAAGUAACAGCUUGAUGUUUCUCAGGUUUCCCAUUUCUUCAGUUGCACCUUAUGUAGGAAAAUCGUCAUAACUUUUUUAUUUUUUGGAUUUGUACGCUCAAAUUUUAGAUUUAGGUUAUUGAAUAGUCCUUUUGUUUGAAACAAUAAAAAUCUCAUUUUGUGAUUCUUGAGCCAGAAUAGUCAUUUUCCCAUUCCCUCUCACAUAUACAGAAAUGUGGAAAGCAUUCCAAUAAAUUCCCUUUAUAAUGAUUUUGUGUAUAUAAAUACUUUUUUUAUGUUUCCCACAUAAUACUGUGGGACAUAUUGUUUUUGCCAUGUCUUUUUUUGUCAAACAAACUUUUAAAUUGGCCAAAACGUUUGCAAUAUUGAAGAUAGCAACUUGCUAUUUGGCAUGCAUGUAUAUUUAAUGGACCUGCACAUUUUGAUUGGUAAAACUUCAAUGUCAAGGUCAUCCUUCAAGGUCAAAAGUAAAAAAUAUAUUGGGGGACAUAGUGUUUCACAAACACAUCUUGAUUUUUGUUUUUUACACUGUUUUCAACAUGUUUCAAUAAAUGUUACAUUACAGCAAUAUAAAGCUGUUACAUUAUCUCUUAGUUGCAGGUUUUACUAAGUUUUGUAUUAAUUUGUACAUGCACUGAAUGCAUUAAUUUUGUUAUUCUACCAUUUUUCUUUCACACUACAUAUACACUAAUUGGAAUACAUAUGCACUUAAAAAACUGUAUUUGUAAAUAAUAAUAAAUUGUACUUUAUUUAUAUAGGGUUAACAGCACAUUACUAGUAUUUAAGUCAUAAUGAAAUGCAAAUUGAUGAUGAAAGAAUACCCCACUUGAUUAAGCAUUGUAAGAUACAAUUAAGGUUGCUUCAGUGAUGUCACAAAUCCAACUUUGGCAUACAAGGAUUAAACAAGAUAUGUUUAAACAAGAAAUACAAUGUCCCCUACUGCGUCGUGUUGAACCCAUAUAUUUGACAUUUUACCUUGAAGGAUGACCUUGACCUAGACAUUUCACCAAUAAAAAUGUGCAGAUCCAUGAUAUACACAUGCAUUCCAAAUAUCAAGUUGCUAUCUUCAAUAUUGCAAAAGUUAUGGCCAAUGUUAAAGUUUUCAGACGGACGGACAUACUGACGGACAGUUCAACUGCUAUAUGACACCCUACCGGGGGCAUACACAUUGUUCAUACAAAGAUUUCAAUCCAUGCAGAUAGAGACCAUGUCACGUCAAGUGCCAAAAACACUUAAAAUAAAUAUUGACAAAAAGGAAAAAUUGCUUUUUUAAAUUAUUUAUACUUUUAUUCCAUUGGUUACAUGUAAGUAUUGGAUUGAAGCAACACUGGAGGCAUUCAAAUUCAUCCAAUUUUGACUUUGUUCAGUGUUGCUUCAAACCAUUGAGAUGGCACUUUCCAUAUAUGCUAUUAUUGUUUUAUGUCAUUUCAUUUAAUUUUGAGAAAAAGCACAUUUCUGAAAGUUGCAUGCCAAUUAACAUAUUAAGUAUUGAUAUAUCAAUUUACCAAAUGACAAAUAAAUAUACCUUUUU